AGCUUUGCGCAGUGGCGAUAUCGUAACCAAUGAGGUUUUACCGAGGUGCGAUUAUUGCUAGUUGAAAAAAAAAAUGUUGAAAUAAGGCCUAUAAGCGGAAAUUCUGCCAUUUGGCAUUAGAGAUGCUGAAUUAGU